ACGAACGCUGGCGGCGUGCUUAACACCUGCCAGUCGAACGGAAAGGCCCUGCUUUUGUGGGGUGCUCGAGUGGCGAACGGGUGAGUAGCACGUGAGUAACCUGCCCUUGACUUUGGGAUAACUUCAGGAAACUGGGGCUAAUACCGGAUAGGAGCUCCUGCUGCAUGGUGGGGGUUGGAAAGUUUCGGCGGUUGGGGAUGGACUCGCGGCUUAUCAGCUUGUUGGUGGGGUAGUGGCUUACCAAGGCUUUGACGGGUAGCCGGCCUGAGAGGGUGACCGGCCACAUUGGGACUGAGAUACGGCCCAGACUCCUACGGGAGGCAGCAGUGGGGAAUAUUGCACAAUGGGCGGAAGCCUGAUGCAGCAACGCCGCGUGCGGGAUGACGGCCUUCGGGUUGUAAACCGCUUUCGCCUGUGAUGAAGCGUGAGUGACGGUAAUGGGUAAAGAAGCACCGGCUAACUACGUG
rnacentral:rRNA from 1 species